rnacentral:rRNA from 1 species
GAUGAACGCUGGCGGCGUGCCUAAUACAUGCAAGUCGAGCGAACGGACGAGAAGCUUGCUUCUCUGAUGUUAGCGGCGGACGGGUGAGUAACACGUGGAUAACCUACCUAUAAGACUGGGAUAACUUCGGGAAACCGGAGCUAAUACCGGAUAAUAUUUUGAACCGCAUGGUUCAAAAGUGAAAGACGGUCUUGCUGUCACUUAUAGAUGGAUCCGCGCUGCAUUAGCUAGUUGGUAAGGUAACGGCUUACCAAGGCAACGAUGCAUAGCCGACCUGAGAGGGUGAUCGGCCACACUGGAAGUGAGACACGGUCCAGACUCCGACGGGAGGCAGCAGUAGGGAAUCUUCCGCAAUGGGCGAAAGCCUGACGGAGCAACGCCGCGUGAGUGAUGAAGGUCUUCGGAUCGUAAAACUCUGUUAUUAGGGAAGAACAUAUGUGUAAGUAACUGUGCACAUCUUGACGGUACCGAAUCAGAAAGCCACGGCUAACUACGUG